GACGAACGCUGGCGGCGUGCCUAAUACAUGCAAGUCGAACGCUUCUUUCCUCCCGAGUGCUUACACUCAAUUGGAAAGAGGAGUGGCGGACGGGUGAGUAACACGUGGGUAAUCUACCCAUCAGAGGGGGAUAACACUUGGAAACAGGUGCUAAUACCGCAUAACAGUUUAUGCCGCAUGGCAUAAGAGUGAAAGGCGCUUUCGGGUGUCGUUGAUGGAUGGACCCGCGGUGCAUUAGCUAGUUGGUGAGGUAACGGCUCACCAAGGCCACGAUGCAUAGCCGACCUGAGAGGGUGAUCGGCCACACUGGGACUGAGACACGGCCCAGACUCCUACGGGAGGCAGCAGUAGGGAAUCUUCGGCAAUGGACGAAAGUCUGACCGAGCAACGCCGCGUGAGUGAAGAAGGUUUUCGGAUCGUAAAACUCUGUUGUUAGAGAAGAACAAGGACGUUAGUAACUGAACGUCCCCUGACGGUAUCUAACCAGAAAGCCACGGCUAACUACGUG
rnacentral:rRNA from 1 species